rnacentral:rRNA from 1 species
AUACGUAGGGGGCGAGCGUUGUCCGGAAUUAUUGGGCGUAAAGGGAGUGUAGACGGUCAUAUAAGUUACAGGUGAAAGCCCAUUUUUCCAGGAUGGAACUGCCUGUAAGACUGUAAGACUUGAGUGCAGGAGAGGGAAGCGGAAUUCCAAGUGUAGCGGUGAAAUGCGUAGAUAUUUGGAGGAACACCAGUGGCGAAGGCGGCUUUCUGGACUGCAAGUGACGUUGAGGCGCGAAAGCGUGGGGAGCGAACAGGAUUAGAUACCCUGGUAGUCCACGCUGUAAACGAUGGAUGCUAGGUGUGGGGGGUAUCGACCCCCUCCGUGCCGGAGUUAACGCAAUAAGCAUCCCGCCUGGGGAGUACGGCCGCAAGGUUGAAACUUAAAGGAAUUGACGGGG